AAGUAUGCAUGGCGGGCUGGACCUCUCGGGGUUACAGCCUUGCUGAAUUAUUCACCCUUGUCUUUUGCGUACUUCUUGUUUCCUUGGUGGGUUCGCCCACCACUAGGACAAACAUAAACCUUUUGUAAUUGCAAUCAGCGUCAGUAACAAAUUAAUAAUUACAACUUUCAACAACGGAUCUCUUGGUUCUGGCAUCGAUGAAGAACGCAGCGAAAUGCGAUAAGUAGUGUGAAUUGCAGAAUUCAGUGAAUCAUCGAAUCUUUGAACGCACAUUGCGCCCUUUGGUAUUCCAAAGGGCAUGCCUGUUCGAGCGUCAUUUGUACCCUCAAGCUUUGCUUGGUGUUGGGCGUCUUGUCUCUAGCUUUGCUGGAGACUCGCCUUAAAGUAAUUGGCAGCCGGCCUACUGGUUUCGGAGCGCAGCACAAGUCGCACUCUCUAUCAGCAAAGGUCUAGCAUCCACUAAGCCUUUUUUUCAACUUUUGACCUCGGAUCAGGUAGGGAUACCCGCUGAACUUAAGCAUAUCAAAA
rnacentral:rRNA from 1 species